UUUUAGCUGCGUGAGGGAUAGAAGCGGCAUCCUUUCUGUUUUUCACAGAAAGAUAUAGCGGAUAGCCCGACCUUUA
rnacentral:sRNA from 1 species